AUUCUUUUAGUAUUAGCCAGUACAGCUGACUUCCAAUCAGCUAGCUCCGGUAUAAAUCCGGAAAAGAAUA
rnacentral:tRNA from 1 species